GGAGUUUGUCGGCAGCAACAGGCACGGUCUCCAGAAGAAGGUGUGUGCAACCAUACCUUUAAUCCCAGAUGACCUUGAACUCAGAGAUCUCCUUAUCUUAAUCUUCUGGAAUUCAUAGCCACUAUACCUCAAGAUCUCCAUGCCAAGAUCCAGGUCAGAAACUUGUAUCUCCCAGCCUCCAGAUUAGGAUCACAGGUUUCUGUUGCUGAGAUGAAACGCCAUGACCAAGAAGCAAGUUGAGGAGGAAAGGGUUUAUUCAGCUUACACUUCCAUACUGCUGUUCAUCACCAAAAGAGGUCAGGACUGGAGCUCCACCCAGGGCAGGAACCUGGAGGCAGGAGCUGAUGCAGAGGCCAUGGAGGGGCAUUGUUGACUGGCUUGCUCUUCAAGGGCACCAACUGUUCUGAUCUCUUGAAGAGCUCCUCAGGCAACCUUCUGUUUCUAGCAAGAUGAUACACCCAAGCCUUGAUGACAAGGCUUGGCUCUCAACCUCCUUGCUCCCCACCUCCUGUGAAAUACACAAAGAAAUUCAGUGAUCAUCGGGGAUGCUCUGGUCCAAACACUACCUGCCAGCCAGACGCAGGAGAUGGAUGGCUCAGCAGUAAUCGUGCUGCUUGAGCUUGGUGUCUAAUGGGGACAGUAGUGACAGGAAGUUCACAGGGACUGGAAGACAUGAGUUCUCUGAGGGAAAGGAAGGUGAAGCCUGGUGCUUAGGACCCUCAGGAGACCAUAGGAUGUGAGAAGGCUCAAGACACCCAGAGGUGGGGUCAGAAACAGGGCAAAGGAGACCAAGCAUGGGAGAGCUGCAGUGGACGUGUACAGACAGGAGAAGCAGGCCCUAAAGAAUCCCUGAGGCGGCAGAGAGGCUGGGCUGUGGAACUUUUUAAUUACUUUGCAUUAGGGGACUGUAGAGACCCAGAAGCCCACCCUUCCCCUCCCCUCAUCAGCUUAGCCCCAACAUAUGGUGGCUACCAAAGUAGUUAAAUCGGCUCUUGGUAGAAAAGGAAAGAGAUUCCUCCCAGGCUCUUCCCAGGGUCCACGGCCACACUCCAGGAGGGCUCAACUCCAGGGCAAGGCAGCUGGGACAGCAGGCAGCUGAAGGAGGACUAUUACUGCACCUUAGGGAAGAGUGCAGUGGCGAGUGGGGAGGACUCUGCUGGGACCCGGGGGUCAUGUGCAUUCCCAUUUAGUUGAGCUCUGCUUAAUCCGGGCCUAGGCUCACAGUAAUGGGGAACGAGGAGAGGCUCCCAUCAGAGACCAAGAAGAUGACAGACUCUCUGUAAAGGCUGUCAGAGGGGUCUGCAUGACCAACCACACCUGCUCCUGUUCCUUUGGGGCUCUUGUGACCUCCCUGUCUUCUUGUGAGAUCUUAUGUUCCUCCAACCCUGAGAGCUACAAACCAAUCUCCGGAAUAAAAAAAUCUGUCCCUCGUGCUGUCA
rnacentral:lncRNA from 1 species